rnacentral:rRNA from 1 species
GACGAACGCUGGCGGCGUGCUUAACACAUGCAAGUCGAGCGGUAAGGCCCUUUCGGGGGGUACACGAGCGGCGAACGGGUGAGUAACACGUGGGUGACCUGCCCGUCAGCUCUGGGGAUAAGCCUGGGAAACUGGGUCUAAUACUGGAUAUGACUCCACGGUGCAUGUCGUGGGGUGGAAAGCCUUGUAGCGGCUGAGGAUGGG